CGGCUACCAUGCAGUCGAGCGCCCCGCAAGGGGAGCGGCAGACGGGUGAGUAACGCGUGGGAAUCUACCCAUCACUACGGAACAACUCCGGGAAACUGGAGCUAAUACCGUAUACGUCCUUCGGGAGAAAGAUUUAUCGGUGAUGGAUGAGCCCGCGUUGGAUUAGCUAGUUGGUGGGGUAAUGGCCUACCAAGGCGACGAUCCAUAGCUGGUCUGAGAGGAUGAUCAGCCACACUGGGACUGAGACACGGCCCAGACUCCUACGGGAGGCAGCAGUGGGGAAUAUUGGACAAUGGGCGCAAGCCUGAUCCAGCCAUGCCGCGUGAGUGAUGAAGGCCCUAGGGUUGUAAAGCUCUUUCAACGGUGAAGAUAAUGACGGUAACCGUAGAAGAAGCCCCGGCUAUCUUCGUGCCAGCACCCGGGGUAA
rnacentral:rRNA from 1 species